GUGCCAGCAGCCGCGGUAAUACCAGCUCCGCGAGUGGUCGGGGUGCUUACUGGGCCUAAAGCGCCCGUAGCCGGCCCGGUAAGUCGUCCCUGAAAUCCACGGGCUCAACCCGUGGGCUGGGGACGAUACUGCCGGGCUUGGGGGCGGGAGAGGCCGAGGGUACUCCCGGGGUAGGGGCGAAAUCCGAUAAUCCCGGGAGGACCACCAGUGGCGAAGGCGCUCGGCUGGAACGCGCCCGACGGUGAGGGGCGAAAGCUGGGGGAGCAAAGGGGAUUAGAUACCCGGGUAGUCCCGGCUGUAAACUAUGCGGGCCAGGUGUCGGGCGGGCGUUAGAGCCCGCCCGGUGCCGCAGGGAAGCCGUUAAGCCCGCCGCCUGGGGAGUACGGCCGCAAGGCUGAAACUUAAAGGAAUUGGCGGGGGGGCACACAAGGGGUGAAGCUUGCGGCUUAAUUGGAGUCAACGCCGGAAACCUUACCCGGGGCGACAGCAGGAUGAUGGCCAGGCUAACGACCUUGCCGGACGAGCUGAGAGGAGGUGCAUGGCCGUCGUCAGCUCGUGCCGUGAGGUGUCCGGUUAAGUCCGGCAACGAGCGAGACCCCCACCCCUAGUUGCUACCCGAUCCUUCGGGAUCGGGGGCACACUAGGGGGACUGCCGGCGUAAGCCGGAGGAAGGAGGGGGCCACGGCAGGUCAGUAUGCCCCGAAACCCCGGGGCUGCACGCGAGCUGCAAUGGCGGGGACAGCGGGAUCCGACCCCGAAAGGGGGAGGUAAUCCCGUAAACCCCGCCCCAGUAGGGAUCGAGGGCUGUAACUCGCCCUCGUGAACGUGGAAUCCCUAGUAACCGCGUGUCACCAACGCGCGGUGAAUACGUCCCUGCCCCUUGCACACACCGCCCGUC
rnacentral:rRNA from 1 species